AUGCCCUACGGGACGCAGCAGUAGGGAAUAUUGCUCAAUGGGGGAAACACUGAAGCAGCAACGCCGCGUGGAGGAUGAAGGUUUUCGGAUUGUAAACUCCUUUUGUUAGAGAAGAUAAUGACGGUAUCUAACGAAUAAGCACCGGCUAAAUCAGUGCCAGCAGCCGCGGUAAUACGGAGGGUGCAAGCGUUACUCGGACUCACUGAGAGUAAAGAGCGCGUAGGCGGGAUAGGAAGUCAGAUGUGAAAUCCUAUGGCUUAAC
rnacentral:rRNA from 1 species